rnacentral:rRNA from 1 species
GGGGAGUACGGCCGCAAGGUUAAAACUCAAAUGAAUUGACGGGGGCCCGCACAAGCGGUGGAGCAUGUGGUUUAAUUCGAUGCAACGCGAAGAACCUUACCUGGUCUUGACAUCCACAGAACUUGCCAGAGAUGGCUUGGUGCCUUCGGGAACUGUGAGACAGGUGCUGCAUGGCUGUCGUCAGCUCGUGUUGUGAAAUGUUGGGUUAAGUCCCGCAACGAGCGCAACCCUUAUCCUUUGUUGCCAGCGGUUAGGCCGGGAACUCAAAGGAGACUGCCAGUGAUAAACUGGAGGAAGGUGGGGAUGACGUCAAGUCAUCAUGGCCCUUACGACCAGGGCUACACACGUGCUACAAUGGCGCAUACAAAGAGAAGCGACCUCGCGAGAGCAAGCGGACCUCAUAAAGUGCGUCGUAGUCCGGAUUGGAGUCUGCAACUCGACUCCAUGAAGUCGGAAUCGCUAGUAAUCGUAGAUCAGAAUGCUACGGUGAAUACGUUCCCGGGCCUUGUACACACCGCCCGUCACACCAUGGGAGUGGGUUGCAAAAGAAGUAGGUAGCUUAACCUUCGGGAGGGCGCUUACCACUUUGUGAUUCAUGACUGGGGUGAAGUCGUAACAAGGUAACCGUAGGGGAACCUGCGGUUGGAUCACCUCCUUACCUUAAAGAA